rnacentral:rRNA from 1 species
CCUACGGGUGGCAGCAGUCGAGAAUCAUUCACAAUGGGGGAAACCCUGAUGGUGCGACGCCGCGUGGGGGCAUGAAGGUCUUCGAAUUUUAAACCCCUGUCAUGUGGGAGCAAAUUAAAAAGAUAGUACCACACGAGGACGCUACGUCUAACUCUGUGCCAGCAGCCGCGUUAAUACAGAGGUCUCCAGCGUUGUUCGGAAUCACUGGGCGUAAAGCGUGCGUAGGCUGUUUCGUAAGUCGUGUGUGAAAGGCGCGGGCUCGACCCGCGGACGGCACCUGAUACUGCGAGACUAGAGUAAUGGAGGGGGAACCGGAAGUCUCGGUGUAGCAGUGAAAGGCGUAGAUAUCGAGAGGAACACUCGUGGCGAAGGCGGGUUCCUGGACAUUAACUGACGCUGAGGCACGAAGGCCAGGGGAGCGAAAGGGAUUAGAUACCCCUGUAGUC